GAUGAACGCUAGCGGCAGGCCUACACAUGCAAGUCGAGGGGCAGCACAGAAACAGCAAUGUUUUGGUGGCGACCGGCGGACGGGUGCGUAACGCGUAUGCAACCUACCUUACACAGGGGGAUAACGGAUGGAAACGUCCACUAACACCCCAUAACAUCGGAAUCGGCAUCGGAUUCGGUUGAAAUCUCCGGAGGUGUAGGAUGGGCAUGCGUUGUAUUAGAUAGUUGGUGAGGUAACGGCUCACCAAGUCGACGAUACAUAGGGGGACUGAGAGGUUAGCCCCCCACACUGGUACUGAGCCAUGGACCAGACUCCUACGGGAGGCAGCAGUGAGGAAUAGUGGUCAAUGGGGGCAACCCUGAAUCAGCCAUGCCGCGUGCAGGUAGACGGCUCUAUGAGUUGUAAACCGCUUUUACACAGGGAUAAAUCGGGGUACGCGUACCCCGUUGAAGGUACUGUGGGAAUAAGGAUCGGCUAACUCCGUGCCAGCCGCCGCGGUAA
rnacentral:rRNA from 1 species